GCGGUGGAUGAUGUGGAUUAAUUCGAUGCAACGCGAAAACCUUACUACCCUUGACAUGUCCGGAAUCCCGAAGAGAUUUGGGAGUGCUCGCAAGAGAACCGGAACACAGGUGCUGCAUGGCUGUCGUCAGCUCGUGUCGUGAGAUGUUGGGUUAAGUCCCGCAACGAGCGCAACCCUUGUCAUUAGUUGCCAUCAUUUGGUUGGGCACUCUAAUGAGACUGCCGGUGACAAACCGGAGGAAGGUGGGGAUGACGUCAAGUCCUCAUGGCCCUUAUGGGUAGGGCUUCACACGUCAUACAAUGGUCGGUACAGAGGGUUGCCAACCCGCGAGGGGGAGCUAAUCCCACAAAGCCGAUCGUAGUCCGGAUCGCAGUCUGCAACUCGACUGCGUGAAGUCGGAAUCGCUAGUAAUCGUGGAUCAGCAUGUCACGGUGAAUACGUUCCCGGGUCUU
rnacentral:rRNA from 1 species